rnacentral:rRNA from 1 species
UACGAAGGGUGCAAGCGUUACUCGGAAUUACUGGGCGUAAAGCGUGCGUAGGUGGUUUGUUAAGUCUGCUGUGAAAUCCCCGGGCUCAACCUGGGAAUGGCAGUGGAUACUGGCAAGCUAGAGUGCGGUAGAGGGUAGUGGAAUUCCCGGUGUAGCGGUGAAAUGCGUAGAGAUGUGGAGGAAUACCGAUGGCGAAGGCAGCCCCCUGGGAUAACACUGACGCUCAUGCACGAAAGCGUGGGGAGCAAACAGG